UCCCAAUGAUGAGUUGCCAUGCUAAUACUGAGACACCAAGUAGGGCAGUGUUGCCCUAGUUUGGGUGCCAGUGAGUUUAACAAAACUUCUCACGUGGAGACCUGAGGGGC